AAUUGUUGCGUAUGCGUGUGCAAAGCAUAUGCAUAGCAUAUUUUAUUGUUUAAAACAAUCCUUUUGUGCAAAAAAUUGUGCAAAAACAUAUGUAGAACUUAUGUCUGAUACAAGUGCUCUGGAAUUAUGUAUCAGUUGUAGUGCGAGCUGCAGUAGCAGGCGCAAAAGAAGAAAGUGAAGCAGCUACAACAACAACAGCAGCGACAAGAACAACAACAAAAGAGCAGCAACAAAUUUUGUAAAAGGGAAAAAGAAAUAUAUAUACAUACAUAUAUUUGUACACAAUCAAACGCACACGCAACGUGCUCGCACCAGCCCCAUUAUAAAUUCAAGAAACAACAGCUACAAAAACAGCAAUUGCAAUGUCCAAUGGUGACGAUGUGCUAGACAACUGGGAAGAAAUUGACGAGGCAGGCCUUUGCAUGACGCUUCAAACGAAACUGCAAACCGCCGACGACGACUCCAGUUGCACCCUUAAGCCCGCCCCAACAGCUGAAACACCAGCAACAACAGCAGCCUCUGGCAAAAUGAAAUUACUUCAACGGCCGCAAAGCAUGCAGGAAAGCAGCGGCGGUGGCAGCACUGCGACGGCCGCAGACGUGGCACCUAAACAAAUCAUGAUUGCUAAGAAGCAGCCAACGUCUGCGACAUCAUUGGAUGACGAAUCGAGCGCGCCGUCGCCGCCUGUUAUGAUGGUGCUCCAUAAAUCGAGCAGCGAGUACGAUGCUGCCAAUUAUGCCACGCCCAUUAGCAAUCAAACGGUGAAAAUCUUGCGACGACCCGCACAGGCCGAAGAGCGCCGUGAUAUGAAUGGCAUUAGACCCAAGCAGCCCAUCAAAACGCUGCAACAAAGAGAGCAGGAAUACGCACAGGCACGUCUUCGCAUACUGGGAAGCGCUAAGAAUCCAGAGGACGAUAAACCUGCCGCGGCCGCAACCCUCGUGGUGCUAUCAACCCCAGUGCAACCGGAGGUGACGACAACAACGCCGACAGCGUUCAACUUCAAUAACAACAUUAAUAAUAACAACAGUGGCAUUGGCAUUCAGUCAGUAAAUAAUGCAUCACCUGGCAUGCAUCGGUCCACAUCGGCGCCAAAGAUGUCACAGACGGCGCCCUUUUACAACAACUACAACAAUUAUUAUCAGCCGCCGCCAAAUACAGCCCCCAUGGGCUAUUUCUAUCAGCAGACACCGUCGAUGCAUCAGCCACAUCAACAGCAGCAACAGCAUCAACAAACUUCGCCACAAUCUCUGGCGCACUACAAUCAACGACUGUCGCAGUAUAUGACAGGCGCCAGUGUGACAGCAGCAGGAGCUGCAACGGCCAACCCUCAGCAGAGUUGGUCGCCGGUUGUGGGCGGCAGUGUUUCGGCGGCGCUGCUGCGUCAGCAAUCGUUGCAUACGCCAUCGUUGCAACAGCAUCAGGCACAGCCACAGCCACCGCCACCUCAAUAUGCACAUCCAUACAAUGAUAACGUACUACGGCUGCCACGUGGUCCGUGCCCCAAUGGCACAAUCGGAUUUCAGAUGCGUCGGUAACAGGCGGCCAGAUGGAUGCAACAAAACUAUCUAUUAUUUCAAUUAUCCCAUGCCAAUUGAACGCAUGCAUUCAAAAUUGUCAUUUCUGAGAUUGCAUUAAAGCUGCAAUCAACCAACUAUGUAAACAAAUUUAUGACGGAGUUUGGUAGUUAUCUUGUAAAUUUACAAACAAAAAACAACAGAGGAGAAACAUUACAAUUUUUUAAUG
rnacentral:misc_RNA from 1 species